rnacentral:lncRNA from 1 species
GUGGCUGGUUCUCCUGAGGGACCCUCAUUUACAGAUAGUAUUGGGUAAACUGGAGUAUACCAGCAGGAUGAACACAAAAUUCUCCCAAAAAGAAUCAGUUGCUGAUGCAGACAGAGGAAUACUCUAUUGCAGCCAAAGGGGAGUUUUUCUGUCACCCCUUUUUGCCACACCAGGCUGAUCCUGACCAUGGGAAUUGCUCAGGUCUCCUCAGAUCUGAGUUUCAUGUGUUAACUGCACAAAGAAGAACCAGGCGUAUGAGGCCGCAACUUUGCCCUGAUUUCACAAGAUGAAGACAGAAAAUGAUGCAGUGUUGCUCAAUUUCACUUGGUCAUAAUGGCUAAAAAUUAAUAUAAAGCCCUGCCAUCUAAUGAUUGAAAACAAUGAAGAUUUUCUUUCUGAUGCUUUCAUAGAUAAGAUGUCAAUUGCUUUGAUUAAGCAUCAUCAACAAGUUAGUACAAUUUUAUUUCCUAAAUAAGCAGCUUUCAUGCUUAAGCACAUACUCUUAUAUUGAUCUUUUUACUGUUUGCAAACUAUAUUCAGAUAGAAAAG